UACGUAUGGUGCAAGCGUUAUCCGGAUUUAUUGGGUUUAAAGGGUGCGCAGGCGGCGUGUCAAGUCAGCGGUAAAAUGUCGGGGCUCAACCCCGGCCGGCCGUUGAAACUGGCGUGCUCGAGUUGGAGAGAAGUAUGCGGAAUUCGUGGUGUAGCGGUGAAAUGCAUAGAUAUCACGAAGAACCCCGAUUGCGAAGGCAGCAUACCGGCUCCACACUGACGCUGAGGCACGAAGGCGUGGGUAUCGAACAGG
rnacentral:rRNA from 1 species